UACAGAGGGUGCGAGCGUUAAUCGGAGUUACUGGGCGUAAAGGGCGCGUAGGCGGUGUAAUGUGUGUGAUGUGAAAGCCCCGGGCUUAACCUGGGAAGCGCAUCGCAAACUGUUAGACUAGAGUAGAUGAGAGGGUGGUGGAAUUUCCGGUGUAGCGGUGAAAUGCGUAGAGAUCGGAAGGAACGUCAAUGGCGAAGGCAGCCACCUGGCAUCAUACUGACGCUGAGGCGCGAGAGCGUGGGGAGCGAACAGG
rnacentral:rRNA from 1 species